UGGGGCGGGCGGUCCCUAAUACAUGCAGUCGAGCGACAGACGAGGAGCUUGCUCCUCUGACGUUAGCGGCGGACGGCGUGAGUAACACGUGGAUAACCUACCUAUAAGACUGGGAUAACUUCGGGAAACCGGAGCUAAUACCGGAUAAUAUAUUGAACCGCAUGGUUCAAUAGUGAAAGACGGUUUUGCUGUCACUUAUAGAUGGAUCCGCGCCGCAUUAGCUAGUUGGUAAGGUAACGGCUUACCAAGGCAACGAUGCGUAGCCGACCUGAGAGGGUGAUCGGCCACACUGGAACUGAGACACGGUCCAGACUCCUACGGGAGGCAGCAGUAGGGAAUCUUCCGCAAUGGGCGAAAGCCUGACGGAGCAACGCCGCGUGAGUGAUGAAGGUCUUCGGAUCGUAAAACUCUGUUAUUAGGGAAGAACAAAUGUGUAAGUAACUAUGCACGUCUUGACGGUACCUAAUCAGAAAGCCACGGCUAACUACGUGCCAGCAGCCGCGGUAAUACGUAGGUGGCAAGCGUUAUCCGGAAUUAUUGGGCGUAAAGCGCGCGUAGGCGGUUUUUUAAGUCUGAUGUGAAAGCCCACGGCUCAACCGUGGAGGGUCAUUGGAAACUGGAAAACUUGAGUGCAGAAGAGGAAAGUGGAAUUCCAUGUGUAGCGGUGAAAUGCGCAGAGAUAUGGAGGAACACCAGUGGCGAAAGCGACUUUCUGGUCUGUAACUGACGCUGAUGUGCGAAAGCGUGGGGAUCAAACAGGAUUAGUGUACCCUGGUAGUCCACGCCGUAAACGAUGAGUGCUAAGUGUUAGGGGGUUUCCGCCCCUUAGUGCUGCAGCUAACGCAUUAAGCACUCCGCCUGGGGGAGUACGACCGCAAGGUUGAACUUCAAAGGAAUUUGACCGGGGACCCGCACAGCGGUUGAAGCAUGGUGGUUUAAUUCGAAGCACGCGAAGAACCUUUACCAAUCCUUGGACAUCCUCUGACCCCUCUUAGAAGAUAAGAGGUUUUUCCCACUUCGGGGAAAGAGUGGAACAGGGUGGUUGCAGUGGUGUCCUUCGGCUCCGUGUUCCUGGGAAUGGUUGGGUUAAGUUCCGAACCGAGGGGGC
rnacentral:rRNA from 1 species